rnacentral:rRNA from 1 species
AUUGAACGCUGGCGGCAGGCCUAACACAUGCAAGUCGAGCGAGCGGCGGACGGGUGAGUAAUGUAUGAGGAUCUGCGCGAUAGAGGGGGCUAACGACUGGAAACGGUGGCUACUACCGCAUACUGUCGGAUGAACCCAUAUGGGAUUAGCUAGUGGGGGGGGUAAAGGCUCACCUGGGCGACGAUCUCUAGCUGGCCUGAGAGGAUGAUCAGCCACACUGGGACUUAGACACGGCCCAGACUCCUACGGGAGGCAGCAGUGGGGAAUAUUGCACAAUGGGCGAAAGCCUGAUGCAGCCAUGCCGCGUGUGUGAAGAAGGUCUUAGGGUUGUAAAGCACUUUCAGCGGGGAGGCGGUACCCGAAGAAGAAGCACCGGCUAACUCCGUGCCAGCCGCCGCGGUAAUAC